GCGAGAGCGAGAGAGAGAGAGAAGGAGUGGGAGAGGCGGGGCGAGCGCAGCAACGUCCGCAUGUCGAAGGCCAACUCGGUAUUCAGUGUUGCUGCCGCCGGGACGUGUUAUCGGUGGAGUGGUGGUAGUCCGGCGAAGCAUGCAUCGUGCUUGAAAGAACUGCCUGUUGUUUGUGGACGUCUCGACCCGCGCGUAGUGAUCGAUUGCCGGCCGUUAUAUGUUUGUCUGUUCGAAUGUAGAGUGUCUGCCUCCUGUUGGAAUAGGAAAUAGGAUACCCGAGGUUGGGCAGCACUAGCCUGCCUAGCACCCACGCGCUGUGCGAAGGUUAAAGCAUCAUGAACUGGCACGGAGGAGCAUCACAGACUCGGGCCGUGAUCACAGGCAGGCUCUCGGCACAGAUGCUGUUGGCUUUCGUUGCUGCUGUUAUCUUGAUGACUAUCGCUAUCGUUCGACUCGAUGUCUUUCCGUCUUAUCAAAUCCAGCACAGUUCCGAGACAGCCCACUUGAGUAACAU
rnacentral:lncRNA from 1 species